CGGAUGAAUUAAGUAAUUGCCGUUUAAACGACAAAGUUGAAAGAUUGUUAUAAUUUUCAAUAGUUUCACCUGAACUUCAUUCGUUAUUAGAUUACAGUGAAUGCAGUGGCCAAGCUGAGGGAAUUUGACUAGUCAUGCUCUAAGACCCGCACAGACUAGGGGGGUCCGGGAAAAUUUUGAUUUUCGAAGUCUGGAAUGGCCAUUUCCUGCGAUUUCAGGGUGAAAUUCAUGCAAAUAAAGCUACAAAAAAUUGUAUUUCCUCAAAAUUUUAUUUUAUUUCACUAUAUAUUUAAACUUAACUGCAAAUGUCGCUCAAUAUAGCCAAUAUUGGCAGACGAAAGAGGAGAACAUUAUAUAUGUGUACAUUUUAAUACCCUGCUGUAAUAUGAUCUUGGAAUUGCGUAAAGGUCAACUGUAAUGUGCUAUAGUAUAGUGUCUACAAG
rnacentral:lncRNA from 1 species